CACGAAGAACGCCUUGAAUGUCAUAGCGAGCACCACACCAGCUAGCUCGUAGUAUCUUUCCGGUAAUAUCUAACUCAAGUUUUGCUCGUUCUUCAGCAGAAGCUUGGUCCUCUCCUUUGUCUUCAAGCUUUUGCAUUUGGUCAAUACUAUGCGUGUUAAUCAUGUCCAUAACGAUCAUUAAUUUCACUUACCUAAGCUUAGCAUCCAUAGCCGCAGAGACUGUAUCCCACGUAGCACGAGCAAUUUUGCCCUUUUCCUUCAUUCGACUCCAAAAUCCUCCAAUACCGAAUUUACUAGAUUUGAGGACUGUUCGACCUUUCUGAGUAUAAACUUCACCUAUAGCAUGUAAAAUUUCAACCCCAAAGGACUCGAUGCGAAGAGUAUUAGCUUCUUGGGUAUACUUUUCACGUAGAGCAUUAAGUCCUUCUUCGGUAGUAGCCUUGGCGAUCCAAUCAUCUAAGCGUUUUUCCAAAUUUUCCGUUACUUCUUUAAUCCUUUGACGGCGAUCUUCAAUCAUCUCUUGUUCUCUUUUGGCCAAAGCUUCGCGUUCACGAAUCUGAGCAUUUUUUUUUCGAUCGUUAAAUUGCUGUUUAAUUGUGGGUGUGGGUUCCGAUGACUCAAGUAAAAGCUGUUGCUUGUCAUUCAUUUGGCCUUGUUCGACAGCCGAAUCUUCUUCUCGGAACAUUUCCUUUACAAACGAUAAUUCACCGACCCAUUCUCGAAAAGGCGCGCCUCCAAAGAGGUUUGUAAAAAAAUCGUAAGCAUCGGUGAAACCUUGUUCAGGAACAGCUUUUUCCUUUCCAAAUUGAUCAUACUGGGAUCGCAGUUUUUCGUCUCCCAAUACUUGAUAAGCUUCACUUAUCUAACAGGCA